AUACGGAGGAUCCGAGCGUUAUCCGGAUUUAUUGGGUUUAAAGGGUGCGCAGGCGGUAUUAUAAGUCAGUGGUGAAAUCUGGAGGCUCAACCUCCAAACUGCCAUUGAUACUGUAGUACUAGAGUACAGACGAAGUAGGCGGAAUGUAGCAUGUAGCGGUGAAAUGCUUAGAUAUGCUACAGAACACCGAUCGCGAAGGCAGCUUACUAGACUGUUACUGACGCUAAUGCACGAAAGCGUGGGGAGCGAACAGGAUUAGAAACCCCAGUAGUCC
rnacentral:rRNA from 1 species